AAUGUCGCUGGUUCAUAUACGGCUCGAAUGACCAGGACUUUGUACUAAGUAAGGAUAUCAUCAAGAGGGCCAAUUUGAAAGCAACAGAAUCCAAAAUUUUAACAAACCGAAUAUUAGUGAACAGUAACAAAGAUUGAGGUAACCCUAGCACCCGGCAUAUAUGAAUAUUGAUAGAGCCCCUUAAACAUAAUCCAGAAACGAAAGCAAAUGAUGUCAAGGGCCGUUCCACUUGCAGGCAAGUUUAAACGAAAAAAUCAAGCAAAAAGGCCGCUUUUGGUAAAGAAGAAAGUGUUGUUUCAUUAUCAAACUUAUUGAACAUCACUGGGAAAAGUUUUCGUUUUCUUUGUUGGGCCAGAUACUUCUUGGACCAUACUCGUACAUUAAAAUACGUUGUAUAUUGUUAUUUUUAGUUCCCUCCAUUUAUAUUUCCGAUUAUACCAAUGACUUGAAAUAUAUUUAUAUAUUACCAUCUAAAAAUGAAAUUUGGAAAAUAUUCAAUUUGUUUCAUAAUACAAUACCAAAAAUAAAUUACUAAGCACGUGUAAAUUUCGACAAUAUCAACAGUUGUAUAUAAAGGUGAACCAAUUACAAAUUUUAAAUUGUGUUAAUAUAUUACUUGCUGUCUUAUUAACAUAAGGCAAUCAAUGUAUGUGCCUAAACGCUAAUUAUUAUAUGAAAUGAAAUAAUUAUAUUGUUUAAGUACUUAUUGAGAACACAAAACGUUGUAAUGAUAAAGAGAAUAAUAGGUAUAAAUGAGUUUGAAUAUAAAUAAUGUUUCGUUUUCAACUAUAUUAUCAUUAUUAUCAUAAUUUCAUAAUAAACAAUAUGUAAACAUUACUUUUACAGAGUUAUUAAUUUACAUUUGACAGUGACAAUUAAUUGACUGCGUUCGAUUAUCUACAUCUGAUGAAUCUAACUGUUCGAUAUCGUUCGGCAAUCCACUUUAUUUCGAUAUGACUAUUCGUUUCGCGUUCAGUUAUAUAAAUAUUUGAACACUCCGAGUAAGAUUUCUUAACUCCGAAUCUUAGAAAAACUCAUAUUUGUUUUGACUUUUGACGUUUCGAUGCUUAUGAAUUAGUAAUUUUAUUCGAUAGUUGUUUGUAUUUAUUUGUUGUGUGUGUGGUUUUUGUAUUUACGAAAGUUCAAUUCGAAAAACGGAAAAAGCAGUAGCUUUAAUUUGUCUGUUGGAAGAUUUUUUGAAAUUGAAGAAGACGAAGUAUAUCCGAAGAGCAUAGGCAAUGCAGAAGAGGUUGUCUCAAGAUUUUGUGGAAACCAAUUUCCAUCAUUUUCGAAUAAAUCCGGAAAUAUUUGAAAACUUGGUUUUAAAUAUAGAUAAUGUUCGUUUACCUAAUAGCGGGGUUCGUUGGAUAUCCAGAAAUGGUUAAGGUUUUGACACUGACAGUUACCGAAGGUGAAAGAUGUUUUUAAGUUAAGGUUUAGAUCAAUGACAGUUGUCGAAGAAGUUCUUAAGUUUUUAAAGUUGGGAAAAGUUUCUCUUUGCUAACAAUGUGCAAUACUCCAAAGGAGAUUGAAUCAAAGUUUAAAUUAAUUUUUUACUUGUUUUUAACAAAAUAAGUUAUCAUAUUUUCGAUUACACUUUGUAAUAAAAUUAAUAGUAGAUAGAUGAAUAAAAAAGUUUUUAAAUUUAAUUAAAAA